AAUAGAUACCCAGGUAGUCCACGCCGUAAACGAUGAGUGCUAAGUGUUAGGGGGUUUCCGCCCCUUAGUGCUGCAGCUAACGCAUUAAGCACUCCGCCUGGGGAGUACGGCCGCAAGGCUGAAACUCAAAGGAAUUGACGGGGGCCCGCACAAGCGGUGGAGCAUGUGGUUUAAUUCGAAGCAACGCGAAGAACCUUACCAGGUCUUGACAUCUCCUGACCCCCCUGGAGACAGGGUCUUCCCUUCGGGGACAGGAUGACAGGUGGUGCAUGGUUGUCGUCAGCUCGUGUCGUGAGAUGUUGGGUUAAGUCCCGCAACGAGCGCAACCCUUGUCCUUAGUUGCCAGCAUUCAGUUGGGCACUCUAAGGAGACUGCCGGCUAAAAGUCGGAGGAAGGUGGGGAUGACGUCAAAUCAUCAUGCCCCUUAUGACCUGGGCUACACACGUGCUACAAUGGGCGUACAGAGGGUCGCGAACCCGNGAGGGGGGANCCAAUCCCAAAAAACCGGCUCUCAGUUCGGAUUGCAGGCUGCAACUCG
rnacentral:rRNA from 1 species